CAACAAACCAACCGGGUUUGAAUGAUUUUUUUUCCUCUGCUCUUCUUGCCUGCCAGCGGCGGCUGUGCAGUCAUAUCCAUCUAAAAUGGCGACCGUGGAACCGCAUGACUGCCCAAUGUGCACAAAGUGAGGACCGUGAAGACAUGGUUUUGAUUAAUUUGGUAUACAGAAAACUCGAGUAAACAGCAUGGAGUUCUUACCUCAACCCCACUGAACACCUUUUGGAUGAAUUAGAACACAGACUGCAAGAUGGCCUUGUCAAAUAUCAGUGGCUUACCUCACAAAUGCUCUUAGGUCAUUUCCACUGACAAACUCCCAAAUCUUGUGGAAAUCCUUUCCCAGAAGAGUUGUGGAUUCUAUAGCCUCGUAAGGGGGGGCGACUCCUUUUUAAUUCCCAUGAUUUUUGGAAUAGAAUGUCCACCAUGCUUUAAUAGGUGUGAUGUUUAGGUGUCCACAUACUUUUGGCCAUAUAGUGUAUUAAUCAUAAAUCCAUCCUUGAUGUC